GGCUGGUCCGAAGGUAGUGAGUUAUCUCACUUGACUGUUCAGGGUCAGUUACAGAUUGAACUCCUUGUUCUACUCUCUCCCCACUUCUCACUACUGCGCUUGACUAGUCAAGA
rnacentral:Y_RNA from 1 species